ensembl:lncRNA
ACCGCGCGGUGGACGUGGCCGAGCUGCAGGAGUGGUACAAGAAGUUCCUGACGGAGUGCCCCAGCGGCUCGCUCUUCAUGCACGAGUUUAAGCGCUUCUUCAAGGUCGCAGGCAACGAGGAGGCCACUCAAUAUGUAGAGGGCAUGUUUGUUCCGCGCCUUCGACAGGAACGGGGACAACACCAUCGACUUCCUGGAGUACGUGGCAGCCCCGAACCUCAUGCUGAGGGGCAACCUGGAGCACACGCUGAAGUGGACCUUCAAGAUCUAUGACAAGGACCGCAACGGCUGCAUCGACCGCCUGGAGCUGCUGGACAUCGUGGAGGCCAGCUGUCCCUGAACGAAUUCAUUGAAGGUGCCCGUCGUGACAAGUGGGUGAUGAAGAUGCUGCAGAUGGAUGCGAGUCCUGGCAGCUGGAUCUCUCAGCAGAGGCAGAAGAGUGCCAUGUUCUGAGGGGCCUGUGGCCCUGGGAGCCCCCGGGGACUCCAGGCUCACCAGGUUUCCAGAGUAGUGGGGGGGCAUCCCUGGCUCAGCCUGCUAUGCCUACUCUCAUCCUGGCACGGACUUCCUGGUGCCUCCCGUGUAGGGGGUGGGGCUGAGUGGGGAGGAGGUGUCUGAAGGGGUCAGUAGGGCCAUGGGUCCUAUUGGGAGGUUUCACAUUCAUGGGGUGCUGAAGGGAACUGGCUUCCUCUUCCCUUCUGCUCCAGGGAAAGCCCGGCCUUGGCAGGGUGGUUGAGCUCCCACAAAUUCCUGCGCAGUUCUUAGCUGAACGAAGGGAAAACUGGGGAGUGGGGAUCCCACAGACCAACUUAGCAAUGAGAAUGCCCACACGGCCUGAGACUGACUGGUAGCAGGGAGGGGCUGGCAAGUGUUGUUGACACGGGAGCAAAGGUGGGACCGGGGGGGAAGGGGAUGGCUAAUAAUUACCCCCCACCCCAACCUGAGGAAUGUGCCUGUGAGGACAUGUGCCUCUUCCUCCCCCAGUUGUCCUCCCCAGGGGUGUCCACGGGAAACUUGCAAUGAGUCAGGCUGUGGUCUGCCUGCCCUUGGAGGUCAGCUGUGCUUAAAGGGGCUGUUCCAACUCUGCCCCGUGCUGUCCCCCCCAACUCUCCUCUCCCCUCUGCAUCCCCACACGCACCUCCCCAACCCCCACCCCCAGCACCGACCUUCCACAGCUCCGCAUCGCAAGCCCACAAGUCAAACGUGUCUCCUUAAAGGAUGGAAGAAACCUUUCCUCUGUCCCUGGGGAGAACUGGGAGCCUGCCAAUCUGGGUUCUAGACCGGGUUUUGCCUCCAACUGCUAUGUGACCCAAGACGGCCACUUCUCUUCCCUAACUUCGGUUAUCUCGUCUACAGCGUGAGCAGUUUAGACAAGUGGUUUUCAGAUGAUUCUUUUUUGGAUGUGGAAUUCUUUUUGUUAUACAAACUGUGUAUGCCACCCCAGUACAGACACCAGAUGAAAAGGCAGUCCUUCUGGUGGCAGGGGUUGCUGAGGACCUCAGAAAAGGAACUCAUGUGAAUAUAUGCUUUUGUGUUGGUGUAUGAAAAAUAAAACUAACUUGUUGAGCCUGAGAU